AUGCAUUCCAGGAUGGUGACUGAAGCUCAUCUUUGUAAACACCUAAAUGCCUAGAAUGGACUCCAAAACAGAUUCUUAAAGUUUAACCAGUAUAAUCUUGAAUAUGGACAAAAAGUAUACACUUGGAACACACACAAAAACAGAUGAGUCCAUGCCAAGCUAAAGAUUAAUGCAGAAGAUUUAUUCUUUGUGACAAGUCCUUCCUUGGAUGUCAACAAUUUGACCUUUGACCUUGACUUUGGAGUUUGACUUGCACUUGGGAAACUUUAACCAUAAGCUGGCAUAUGGGGUAUUAGUAUGUACAAACACAUCUAUUUUUCCGAGUUCACGCACAAAUCAUUGCUAUGUAAUGAAUUUUAGAUAAGAAAAUUACAAGGUAAAUAUUUGAAGAUAUAGUGAAAAAAAUAGCUUAAAAGAUCAUGGUUAUGAAUACUAAAAAAAUAAUUAUUUAGUAUUUAUAUUUAAGUUCUACGGAGAAUCAACCAGGAUUAAUA